rnacentral:rRNA from 1 species
CCUGAUCCAGCCAUGCCGCGUGAGUGAAGAAGGCCUUCGGGUUGUAAAGCUCUUUCAGCCGGGAAGAAAACGCAUGGGUUAAUACCCUGUGUGGAUGACGGUACCGGAAUAAGAAGCACCGGCUAACUACGUGCCAGCAGCCGCGGUAAUACGUAGGGUGCGAGCGUUAAUCGGAAUUACUGGGCGUAAAGCGUGCGCAGGCGGUUUGUUAAGAUAGGCGUGAAAUCCCCGGGCUCAACCUGGGAACUGCGUUUAUGACUGGCAGGCUAGAGUAUGGCAGAGGGGGGUGGAAUUCCACGUGUAGCAGUGAAAUGCGUAGAGAUGUGGAGGAACACCGAUGGCGAAGGCAGCCCCCUGGGCCAAUACUGACGCUCAUGCACGAAAGCGUGGGUAGCAAACAGGAUUAGAUACCCUGGUAGUCCACGCCCUAAACGAUGUCAACUAGGUGUUGGGUGGGUAAAACCAUUUAGUACCGGAGCUAACGCGUGAAGUUGACCGCCUGGGGAGUACGGCCGCAAGGUUAAAACUCAAAGGAAUUGACGGGGACCCGCACAAGCGGUGGAUGAUGUGGAUUAAUUCGAUGCAACGCGAAAAACUUACUACCCUUGACAUGUCAGGAGCCCUUAGAGAUUGGGUGUGCCGAAAGGACUG